UACGUAGGGUGCGAGCGUUAAUCGGAAUUACUGGGCGUAAAGCGUGCGCAGGCGGUUUUGCAAGCCGGAUGUGAAAUCCCCGGGCUUAACCUGGGAAUGGCAUUUGGGACUGCAAGGCUGGAGUGCGGCAGAGGAGACUGGAAUUCCUGGUGUAGCAGUGAAAUGCGUAGAUAUCAGGAGAAACACCGAUGGCGAAGGCAGGUCUCUGGGCUGACACUGACGCUCAUGCACGAAAGCGUGGGGAGCAAACAGG
rnacentral:rRNA from 1 species